UAUAUUUUAGUGUAAGAAGCACAAUAAUUUUUGGCAUUAUUAGGUAUAGUUUAAUUCUAUAAAAUAUAA
rnacentral:tRNA from 2 species